GAUGGUGCACUGAAGAAAGAUGUGAGUCCAGCCAAACCGGGUUUACUAUGGUUGCGAGAAAUAUCAAUUGUGGAUCUGCUCGAUGAAGAAUAUCGACUGCUGCGGGAUUUCUUAGAGGAUCUGCUGCGGCUUAUAUGUGAUACAGAUGAUAUGACGGAUGCAGCACCGGCAGCAGUGGCUGCUGUUCUCAAAUCGGAAUGUAUCUUCUCACGAGACGUAGGUCGGGAACGCGAUCGUGAUCGCGAUUUUGGUCGACCGUUCCCGUGGCGGGAUGUUUCAUAUGAACCACUAUGCCAGCUUGCAUCAUCCUUUCGGUGUCGCGUGUCAAGUCCCAUCGGAGAGCGACUGCGAAUAGAGUAAUUUGCAGGUGGCUCAGACGUACGAUUCUUCUUCCCUAGAGAUGAAGCGCUAGUACUUGUCGUGAAACUAUCAGGUCGCCCAGAACGAAUACUAUUUAGAUCAUCAAACUCUUUUUUGCUUCCGUCAGAAAGAAGUGACUUAGUAAUAUAACCAGCAAGGCCGGCUGCAAGCCAAGAUUUCUUGUUAGACUUUGUACGACGGCUCUCAUCACCAGAUGAUGAGGGAUAUCUGCUCAACUUUUCCACUCUAGUUUGUCUACCACGGUACUCGUCAGAAUACCUACGUCUGGCAGGGCGGUGUUUACGCGGCGCAUCCCUUGAAGUAGUUCCCGGUUCGAAGCAAUAUUUGCAAAUACCGGUGUAUUCGGAGUAUUCCUCAUACUGGGCGACAGCCUCUGAGUCUUUCCAGAAAUUUACAAACUUUCUAAAUGGACCAUGCUGGCGUUGGUGGUAGGCUAAGGAACCUGGUUGAUAUGGCUGGGCCGUUUGGAAGGGUUGCUGGUGUACGAUACCAGAGUACAUGCUGGGUCCCUGCGGGGAGACAGUCGUUUGGCUUGUCGCUGCGGCAUAUCCUGCGGCAGCGCCCAGUGCGGCGGCACCUACAAUAGGCAUGGAAUGGUGCUUGUUUGGUUUUGGUGGGCGUCCACCAUUGAACAGAGGAUUGUCUGGCUGCUGGGCGGGAUGCAGUGUUGAUUCGUGGUGAGGAGAAAAUGGUGAGGAAGUAGAGUGGUGUUCAUUGGAACUUCCCAUCAAUGAACUGAUUCCGGGGUUUGUCCGGC
rnacentral:sRNA from 1 species